UUCUACCUGUACCCCAUCCUCGGCGCCGGCCACCGUCCAGAAGCUGGGGACGUUCUGUACACCUCGCCGGCCGACGGACCGGAGCUCCGAAUCAUCAACCUGCAACUUACCGGUCCAGACAACUACAAUGCGUGGGCUCGAGAUUUCCGGCGGGCUCUUGUGACCAAGGACAAAGAUGGGUUCCUCGAUGGAACUGUGCCCGUUCCCGACGACGACCGUAUGCGGCGACGAUGUUGGCGGAGGUGUAAUCAGCUCGUGCGCACCUGAAUCGGGAACUGCGAGGCCGCUGAUAUCAUCGCCGCCGGCCCUCCACCGACUGAAGAUUCGAAACAAAUGUGGGACGACAUCAAAGAAAUGUAUGGGAAGUUGGACAGAGCGAAGUUAUUUUCGCUCGCUCAAGCUCUGUCGGAUCUGAAGCAAGGGAACCCAUCGGUUACCGCUUGCUUCAACCGACUCUCCUCUCUCUGGAAUGAGCUCGGGGCUGCUGAGGUUGAGCUCAAAGGACCCGAAGAGACUCUCGAGCAGUACAGACUGAUUAGAGAGGGGGAGAAGGUUACCCGUUUUCUGUUGAUUCUGAAUGAAGGCUUCUCAAGGACAUCGAAUAUGACAGAUUGAUAUGCCUUGUAUACAACUCAAUUAAUUCAAAAGUCGAAGAAAUGUCAUGAUGGCUUCUUAAGUUGCUCGAGCAGUGGAUCUAUGACUAGGCAGGUCAAGCUCUCCAGUCUACAUCUCCUUCUGAUUUUUACCCUUAAAUAGUACCAGCUAUCUUGUUGCUGGAUUAAAUUUCAGCUCUUCUUUCCUUUAUUAGUUGGUUUUCCUCUUCAUGACGUAUACCUUUCCCAGCAGAUUAGUGAAAAAAUUUUGUCAGGAUAAUAAAUAUGGCUCAGAUGAUUGAAAACUUAUUUGGGUCUUUUACGAGGUUUUCUUGUAUGAUAUGAGCUGGAAACCUUUAGAUGGCAGGUUCCUGAACAAAGCUGAAAAAGAAGUAAGCCCUGGGGAGAUGAUGGAAUUUCCUGGUCAUUUGGUUGAACAUGGCAACCGUGAAGCAAACGAUGAAUCUUUGAGGGAUCUAAAUGCGUGUGGAAACAGUUUCAAUUCUCUUCAAAAAUUAAUAUGCAAGAGCAGCAGCAUAAUGUUACUAAUGUUAAAUCUGCUUUAAAGGGUACUUGGAAUACAGUUCAAUUUGAUCCAUUUCUUGGUGUUCUAUAUAGUGUUUAUUUUUCCUGUUUAGUCUUUAUAUGAAGGUAAUUUGCCUUACCUCCUAGCCUAAAGUCUUAAACUUCCAAUAGAUUAUCAACAUUUUUUACCUCAUUGUUUAUAUCCUAUGGACCCUAUCAUUUAGCUGCUCUGCAAUUGAUGUAAUCGGGUGAUACUCCAUACUCACCAAAAUGAUAUUGCAAACACAUUGUGAUUCGGAGCUUUAAAGACACAAGUCCAAGGGAUGUUCAUGAGACGUGGGAUGAUUUCCACAAGUCCUUGAACUUGCAGAUGCCAUGAAUCAAUUUGUUGUUUUUAUUUGAAGUUAAUACUUUCUUCAUUGACCAGAUAAAGAGAGUGGACAAUUGAAAAUCAUCAUUGUUAUCCAUGCUAUCUCUUUCUUUUCUGUUGAGGAGCAUGAUUCCCUUCUCUUCAUGUUUUGCAUGAUCUACAAUAAUUACCCGAUUGUGUUUGUGAUGCACUGAAACAUGUAUUCAUUAAUACUCUUUCAGAAGAAAAAAAAAAUGGCCAAGAUGCAUCAGAAUAGGGCAAAGGUGAGUAUAUUAGAUGCUGGAAAAUCAGGGGUAACAGGUCAGACUCUGUUUAGAUGCAUAUUCAGUUUGCCACUAGUGUUUACUAGUUGCCUUAUCUCUACGUUUGUUGCAUGUUCUAAUGCAAUCGUGAUCUCAAAAAAAUUUUGGUUGAUGAAAUCAAAGUUGCCUGUUAGGAGACUUUGUUGCACUUUUCAUAGGCAAGACAUUAUACUGCUUAACCAGAUGGAUUCUUAAAAUUCCUUACAUAUGACAGAAAUCACACUUUAGUUCAAAAAGAAAAAUUCAUAAUAGAUAAAAGCUUCACCAAUAAUAUAAAACUAUCUAUUGAGUUUUUGGCUUUGUGCUUCAGAGAAGGUCUAAGUGUGUCCAUUCAUUUGAAAAAUCCAUAAUUCACCUUGACUGGUUACGUUCCUGAGAAUUUCCUAGCUCUAGCACCGUGCUCUAGGUACUUAAGAAUGAGUCACAAGUACGAGAACCUCGUGCAAAAGAGGAGGGCAAUGAACCGAGUUACAUGGAAUCCUCAGGGUAUUCUUUUAUGCUUACAAUUUCUUGUGAAGUUUUCAUUACUUAGCCAGUUGUUCGUUCUACUUGCCAAUAGAUUUUCUAAUGAAGUUUACAUUAACUAGCCAACUACGUUCUUGUUAUAGCUGUGCAUUUACUGCCUCCUCUUAGCUUGAGGUUAUGGAAAUCACAAAAUCAAUAACAAGUUCAUUAUUAUUCUUCAGUCAUUUCCAACGCAAGUUCAAUCAAUCACGCAUGGGCAUACGAAUGUUCUUUUGCAGGUGUACUUCCAUUAUUCUUGUGUUAGUUUAACUGAGCAUAUCCUACAUGGAUAUUGACACUUCCAUGUCACGUAGAAUGGCAAGUUUUGUACACCACACAAAUAAACUCUAAAGGCCAGGAAAUACCAUGAUGGUUUUUUGCAGCAUGAAGUUCGCGGAUCCCUAGGGAGGCAGGUCAUUCCGAAGCACUUUCAAGGAUGUUACCAUCCUUUUGCCACUGUUCUUUAAUUAAACUAGGCUGGCUACUUUGUUUGCUGAUCCAACAUGAAUCACUUCUGUUUUUGGAAUAGUGGUUCAUUAUGUGACCCAACCAUCACAUUAAUUCAAGUGCAUUUCACUACCCAAAAAAGUUAUAAGGCCCUAAGCAACCCUUCUUUAUAGGUCCUGGAAUAACUUCUGCUCAUUAUUGUAUACCCUUGGAUCAUUCAGGUCCCACUGUAUGAUGCUAGCAGGAAAGUCUUGGCAAAUAAAUUUCUUAGGAAAGAUGAAGUGCUGGGAACCAGAAAAUCACUGGUAUUCAAUUCUCACUUAGUUGAUAUCAGGGAACAUGGAGUAGAAGAAAAGGUGCCGCUGGGUUUGAAUGAUCGGGAACCAUGUCGCGCUGCUGGAGAUAUGAGCAAAGGCCAUGGGGAGGUGAAUGGCAUUAAAGUUGAUCAAUCGUCCUGAUGUUAUAAUCCUACAUAAUGAGCUCCAGUCGAAAAACCUUCAAACUCGAGAAGCAAUGUUUUGAUGUAACUUGGAGGAUGACAAGAAUACGCUCUUUCUCCAAUGCCAUAGCAUGAAUAUGUACUCGAUGUUGUGAUGAGUUGUGGGAUUUCAUUCCAUUCAAGUGACGUCGAAUAAGAUGGGAUUCAUACUGAUGAGAUAUGUCGCAUUCAUAGAUGAUUAGUUCAUUGGAUAAAAUACUUUUCCAGAGGAAGAGUUGUGCUCAGUGACAAAGUCUGCAAACCUUUUGCCUUUUGAGAGACCUGGCAGACCUCUGUGGAAAAACUAUGAUGUGAUUUAACAAAACCCAUCUGCAGCAAUUAUUGAGGAGGAAAGGGAGGUGUAGAUUGUGGAGGCUGCAAACUCUAUCUCAUUCUCUACAUCACCAGUCCCCAGUUGUAAGUCGAUGAGGUGGCCCUUGAUGAUGUGCCUCAUGUUAUAGGAAACUACCAUAUUUGUGUGGUGAAGAGCAAGUGCCUUGACUCAGAUACUAUAGCUCGAGUGAAACAAUUGAAGUUUAAAUUGCAAUUUGGUGUCGGUCUGGACGGUGUCUGCCCCUGCUUGCUUGCGUAUGUCGGGCUGGGGGAGUUUAGUUUAUUUUGUCGGUAUAAUUACUAUGUUUUGUUAGAUCUUAAUUGAAUUUAGUACUCAACAUUUACAUCUUCAUGAAGGUGUUGAUGUGGACGCAGUCACCGAAAAUGGCAUAAAAGUUGCCAGCAUUCCAGAUGACAUCACGGGAAAUGCAGCAUCAUGUGCAGAGAUGUUGAUUCAUCGGAUGCUGGGUUUACUUUGAAAGCAAGUAUGUUUGAUUGCUAGAAAAAUCUUAAGUAGCUGGGGUACUUCAUUUGAUUCAUUCUUACAUGCUAAGUCCACGGGUUUGUCGUGCUUCUUUCUAUUCAGUCGUAGGGA